rnacentral:rRNA from 1 species
AACGAACGCUGGCGGCAGGCUUAACACAUGCAAGUCGAACGCAUCCUUCGGGGUGAGUGGCAGACGGGUGAGUAACGCGUGGGAACGUGCCCUUCAGUUCGGGAUAACCCAGGGAAACUUGGGCUAAUACCGGAUACGUGCGAGAGCAGAAAGAUUUAUCGCUGAAGGAUCGGCCCGCGUCUGAUUAGGUAGUUGGUGGGGUAAUGGCCCACCAAGGCGAGGAUCAGUAGCUGGUCUGAGAGGAUGAUCAGCCACAUUGGGACUGAGACACGGCACAAACUCCUACGGGAGGCAGCAGUGGGGAAUAUUGCACAAUGGGCGCAAGCCUGAUCCAGCCAUGCCGCGUGAGUGAUGAAGGCCUUAGGGUUGUAAAGCCCUUUCGUCCGGGACGAUAAUGACGGUACCGGAAGAAGAAGCCCCGGCUAACUUCGUGCCAGCCGCCGCCGUAA